UACGUAGGGGGCGAGCGUUACCCGGAUUUACUGGGCGUAAAGCGCGUGUAGGCGGCUGGCCAAGCGUGGUGUGAAAUCUUCGGGCUUAACCCGAAAACUGCAUUGCGAACUGGUCUGGCUAGAGUGUGUGAGAGGGUAGUGGAAUUCCCGGUGUAGCGGUGAAAUGCGUAGAUAUCAUCUGGAACGCCAAUGGUGAAAACAGCUCGCUGGGGGUGUGCAGACGCUGAGACACGAAAGCCAGGGGAGCGAACGGG
rnacentral:rRNA from 1 species